rnacentral:lncRNA from 1 species
GCAUUUAACAUAAAUUCUAAUGGCAUACAAAAUAUAUAGUAGCGCUACACAAGUCUUUAUAUUACAUAUAUAACCCGAACAACCCGUUGACUAAAAUACUAAUAAUCAAGCCGGUCCUUUUGGUUUCCCAUCCGAUUCCAAGCAUCCUUUUCCCUUGCGGAAUGUCACUUGUAGUAGUGACACCUCGACAUCUUGUGUCUCAGUUAUUCGGGCUAGAGUUUCGAGCAUGCUAGGCAAGUCUUGAACUUCUUCAUUCCGCAAGUCUUGAACUUCAUCAUUCCUUGCAACAAUUAUAACUCCAUUGACGUCACUACAUUGUUCACUUGAUUCUCCUUCAUCCACCCAAUCGAAAUAUCCACAAUUGUUACUGCAAGUGUUGAAUAAUCACCCUUUGUUACGUGUUUG